UCAUCAGGUAGGAAAAUCUUUACUAGUUCCUCCUUUUAGAGGGCAGAUGGAACAUGAUGAUUGAAGUUUGCAUGAUUUGUGAUUAGCGUCUCUGCAUAAUCAGGACUUCAGCACCCUGAUUGCUCCUAUUUGCU
ensembl:snoRNA U8 U8 small nucleolar RNA